GAUGAACGCUGGCGGCGUGCCUAACACAUGCAAGUCGAACGGACUGAUUCCCUUCGGGGAUGAAAGUUAGUGGCGAACGGGUGAGUAAUGUAUGAGCAACCUGCCUCUGUCAACGGGAUAACAGUUGGAAACGACUGCUAAUACGGUAUAUGACCACGGCACCGCAUGGUGCUGCGGUAAAAGAUUUUAUCGGACAGAGAUGGGCUCAUAUCCCAUUAGGUAGUUGGUGAGAUAACAGCCCCACCAAGCCGACGAUGGGUAGCCGAGCUGAGAGGCUGAUCGGCCACAUUGGGACUGAAACACGGCCCAGA
rnacentral:rRNA from 1 species